AAAUUGCGAAAAGUAAUGCGAUCUGCAGCCUUUGCGAAUCAUCGAAUUCUCGAACGCACCUUGCACCCUUUGGUUCAUCCAUUGGGUACGUCUAGUUCAGUAUCUUUAUUAACCCCUAAAGGUUUAUUUUUUGAUAAAUCUUUGGAUUUGCGGUGCUGAUGGAUUUUCAUCCGUUCAAGCUACCCGAACAAUUUGUAUGUUGUUGACCCUUGAUAUUUCCUUGAGGGCUUGCAUUGGUAUCUAAUUUUUUACCAGUGUGCUUCGAGAUGAUCAAGUAUAAAGGUCAAUCAACCACAAAUAAAUUUCAACUAUGGAUCUGAACUUAGAUGGGAUUACCCGCUGAACUUAA
rnacentral:misc_RNA from 1 species